GAUGAACGCUAGCGGCAGGCUUAACACAUGCAAGUCGAGGGGUAUUGGUUUUCGGACCAAGAGACCGGCGCACGGGUGCGUAACGCGUAUGCAAUCUACCUUUUGCAGAGGGAUAGCCCCAGAGAAAUUUGGAUUAAUACCUCAUAGUAUAGUACUUUGGCAUCAAGGAACUAUUAAAGUCACAACGGCAAAAGAUGAGCAUGCGUCCCAUUAGCUAGUUGGUAAGGUAACGGCUUACCAAGGCUACGAUGGGUAGGGGUCCUGAGAGGGAGACUCCCCCACACUGGUACUGAGACACGGACCAGACUCCUACGGGAGGCAGCAGUGAGGAAUAUUGGACAAUGGGGCGCAAGCCUGAUCCAGCCAUGCCGCGUGCAGGAUGACGGUCCUAUGGAUUGUAAACUGCUUUUAUACAGGAAGAAACACUCCGACGUGUCGGAGCUUGACGGUACUGUAAGAAUAAGGAUCGGACUAACUCCGUGCCAGCAGCCGCGGUAA
rnacentral:rRNA from 1 species